GUGGGGAAUCUUAGACAAUGGGGGCAACCCUGAUCUAGCCAUGCCGCGUGAGUGAUGAAGGCCUUAGGGUCGUAAAGCUCUUUCGCUGGGGAAGAUAAUGACGGUACCCAGUAAAGAAACCCCGGCUAACUCCGUGCCAGCAGCCGCGGUAAUACGGAGGGGGUUAGCGUUGUUCGGAAUUACUGGGCGUAAAGCGCGCGUAGGCGGAUUGGAAAGUUGGGGGUGAAAUCCCGGGGCUCAACCCUGGAAUGGCCUUCAAAACUCCCAGUCUUGAGGUCGAGGGAGGUGAGUGGAAUUCCGAGUGUAGAGGUGAAAUUCGUAGAUAUUCGGAGGAACACCAGUGGCGAAGGCGGCUCACUGGCUCGAUACUGACGCUGAGGUGCGAAAGCGUGGGGAGCAAACAGGAUUAGAAACCCCGGUAGUCC
rnacentral:rRNA from 1 species